CGCGCGCCCCGCCCUCGCCGCGCGUUCUCGAAUGCCUGAAGUCCGAGAAUGCUGGUCUCCUGUACAAGCUCGUGUGUGCGCGCUCACGCGUGCCGCGCCUCCUCGCACACCAGUGAAUAUUUGAUGAAGAAAUGAAGGUACCUGCUUUCUCUUCACCUUUCCUGGAAUUGUUAGAAAAUGAUACAGACAUCAGAUCUCAGGCCUUUGGAGUCUAAGAAUUACACCAGCAAGCCUUCUUGGUUCUCCACACUGCAGAUGGCGUAUCGCAGGGACUCUCAACCUUGA